GCUCAGUUGGUCUAGUGGUUAUAGCGUCCGCCUCGGAUGCGGAAAGUCAAGGGUUCUAACCCCGACCAAGUCA